rnacentral:rRNA from 1 species
UACGUAGGGGGCAAGCGUUGUCCGGAAUCAUUGGGCGUAAAGAGCGUGUAGGCGGCCCGGUAAGUCCGCCGUGAAAGUCCAGGGCUCAACCCUGGAAUGCCGGUGGAAACUGCCGGGCUGGAGUCCGGAAGAGGCGAGUGGAAUUCCCGGUGUAGCGGUGAAAUGCGCAGAUAUCGGGAGGAACACCAAUUGCGAAGGCAGCUCGCUGGGACGUCACUGACGCUGAGACGCGAAAGCGUGGGGAGCAAACAGG